UGGUAAUAGUGGCACAGAGAGCAGCUCAAGCUAUUGAGUGCUGUCUCAAGAAAGAAAGAGACUGCAUGUGACUCAGAGAAGAGGGUUUUCUACAAGAUGACCUUAACUCCAUGAUGGGCCUCCUGAAUGCUGGGACUAAAGCAAAGUGAAAUGAUGAUGAAAACACUGUAUGACCUGCUGGAAGAUCUCAUGAGGAAUUCCGGUCGUUAAAGGGUGCCUCCCCAACUCUGGACCAGAAAAGGCAAUUUGAUAAAUGGAGCACUGGAAGAAAUAUCUGUGAACCAGAAUGGCAACUUCCAGGUACCC
rnacentral:lncRNA from 1 species